AGGAGACACCGCUCUCGUUAGUUGUGAUUUAAAGUCUGUCUCACCGUCUGUUCUCCAGCUCUGGAACGACGAUCCAAAUGGCCGAAAGGCACGAUCGAAUCUCCCUUUCACCAAACUUUAUUGACACGAAUCGCUCCUCGGCUGCCUGGCUGCUGAUAAACAAACAACUGCUUCCCCACCAGGCGCCUGCUGCGUGUCGCCUGUUGUUGGCGAGAGUCGAAGAACGGAGGAUGCGUGAGACCAUCGAGCAGCCGCGCCCUCACCCCAUCUGGGAUCACACAGCCGCAGCACAUGCCUUCUGAUUGAUUUAUUCAAGAUUAAUUGUUGCUUUGUCGGCUCAUUGCUUCCAACCGGUUCGCGUCAGAUGUCUGUGCUUUGCACUACAUUUGAACGCGGUGCAAACAAAGGGUCCUCCGCUCGUCUCGUCGCCACGAUGCAGCUACAGGUCGGCGCCAUGAAUUAGGCCACCAAUAAAGACAGACGAGUCUGGCCUCCAAGGCGAUUACAGAUCCAAAAUGAAUCUUUAAGCUUCA